CAGUGGGUUAAGGAUCCGGAGUCGCCGUGAGACAGUAGGGUUGCAGCCUCUCUUGCAUCCGAUGUCCGACCCCCUGGUGGCUGACGUUGGUCCACGGGCUUGCUGCAGGCUUCCUUGCUGGAGAUCUGCCAGAACAAGCACCACAUGCACAUCUGACCCAGAUGCCUGUGGAGUCUCUGCUUUGCCCUGGGAACCAGGGCACAGGAAAGCCUGAGUGCGCCUUUCGAGAGUGGUGUCUCUGUUUCCCCCAGUCCCCGGGAGCUCCUGUGCACGAGCCCUGCUAGCUCUCGGUGCCCAGUGCUCCGGGGGCCCCUCCUCCUGAUGCCAGAUCCCCAGGGGUGGGAACCUGACAUGGGGCUCAGACCUCUCACUCCUGGGGGUGAGCCUCAGCGAGUUAGUGACUUUCGAGUCUGUGGGCCACCCACCCAGCAGGUAUGGGAUUGCUUCUAAUUGCAGAAUCACCCCUCCUGCUAUCUUGGUGUGGCUUCCUCUUUGUCUUCUGGAGUAGGAUACCUCUUCUGAUAGUUGGUGGUCUGUUUGUUGAAGGUUCUUCAGCAGUUGGCUAUAAUUUUGUUGCUUUUAUGGCAGAAGGUAAGCUCCAGUCCUUCUACUCUGCCAUCUUAAUCGUCUUUUUUUUUUAAUUUAAAAAAUUACAAUGUUGUGUCAAUUUCUG